GUGGCUCAAAGGAGAGAGCACCAGCCCCAUAUGCUGGAGAUGGUGGGUUCAAAUCCAGCC
rnacentral:tRNA from 1 species